rnacentral:rRNA from 1 species
UACGGAGGGGGCAAGCGUUGUUCGGAGUUACUGGGCGUAAAGCGAGCGCAGGUGGUUUAAUAAGUCUGAUGUAAAAGGCAGUGGCUCAACCAUUGUGUGCAUUGGAAACUGUUAGACUUGAGUGCAGUAGAGGAGAGUGGAAUUCCAUGUGUAGCGGUGAAAUGCGUAGAUAUAUGGAGGAACACCGGUGGCGAAGGCGGCUCUCUGGACUGUCACUGACACUGAGGCUCGAAAGCGUGGGUAGCAAACAGG